AUUAUACCGCGAAACUGCGAAUGGCUCAUUAAAUCAGUUAUCGUUUAUUUGAUAGUACCUUACUACUUGGAUACCCGUGGUAAUUCUAGAGCUAAUACAUGCUGAAAAUCCCGACUCACGGAGGGAUGUAUUUAUUAGAUUAAAAACCAAUGCCCCUCGGGGCUUUCUGGUGAUUCAUGAUAACUUCUCGAAUCGCAUGGCCUUGCGCCGGCGAUGGUUCAUUCAAAUUUCUGCCCUAUCAACUUUCGAUGGCAGGGUCUUGGCCUGCCAUGGUUACAACGGGUAACGGAGGGUUAGGGCUCGACCCCGGAGAAGGAGCCUGAGAAACGGCUACUACAUCCAAGGAAGGCAGCAGGCGCGCAAAUUACCCAAUCCCGACACGGGGAGGUAGUGACAAUAAAUACUGAUACAGGGCUCUUUUGGGUCUUGUAAUUGGAAUGAGUACAAUUUAAAUCCCUUAACGAGGAACAAUUGGAGGGCAAGUCUGGUGCCAGCAGCCGCGGUAAUUCCAGCUCCAAUAGCGUAUAUUAAAGUUGUUGCAGUUAAAAAGCUCGUAGUUGAACCUUGGGCCUGGCUGGCCGGUCCGCCUCACCGCGUGCACUGGUUCGGCCGGGCCUUUCCCUCUGGGGAGCCCUAUGCCCUUCACUGGGUGUAGCGGGGAACCAGGACUUUUACUGUGAAAAAAUUAGAGUGUUCAAAGCAGGCCUAUGCUCGAAUACAUCAGCAUGGAAUAAUGGAAUAGGACGUGUGGUUCUAUUUUGUUGGUUUCUAGGACCGCCGUAAUGAUUAAUAGGGACAGUCGGGGGCAUCAGUAUUCAAUUGUCAGAGGUGAAAUUCUUGGAUCUAUUGAAGACUAACUACUGCGAAAGCAUUUGCCAAGGAUGUUUUCAUUAAUCAGGAACGAAAGUUAGGGGAUCGAAGACGAUCAGAUACCGUCGUAGUCUUAACCAUAAACUAUGCCGACUAGGGAUCGGACGAUGUUAUUUUUUGACUCGUUCGGCACCUUACGAGAAAUCAAAGUCUUUGG
rnacentral:rRNA from 1 species